rfam:Plasmodium falciparum Dd2 supercont1.336 genomic scaffold, whole genome shotgun sequence.
GUUAUAUAUUAAUUUAUUGUGUAAUCCCUAGCGGGCAAGAUUUUUUCAAAGAAUGAAAAAGAUCGUAAUCGUCUAGGUAAUAAAAAUUUAAAAAAAAAAAAAUGUUGUAAGUUUUUAGUUUUGCAAUAUAUUUUUUUUUUAAUAC